rnacentral:rRNA from 1 species
AGCUCCAAUAGCGUAUAUUAAAGUUGUUGCGGUUAAAAAGCUCGUAGUUGGAUCUCGGCAGGCAGGGGGUGGUUCGCUCCUUAGCGCUACUGCCCCAUUUGCCUGUGUGAUUGGCAGAGGUUUCGGGGUGCCCUUUAUUGAGUGACCCGGAGCGCUGUCGGGUUUACUUUGAAAAAAUUAGAGUGCUCAAAGCAGGCUUUUCACGCUUGAAUAUUCGUGCAUGGAAUAAUAGAAUAGGAACUCGUUUCUAUUUUGUUGGUUUUCGGAAAUCGAGUUAAUGAUUGAUAGGGACGGUUGGGGGCAUCCGUAUUCUCAAGCGAGAGGUGAAAUUCUUGGACCUUGGGAAGACGAACAGCUGCGAAAGCGUUUGCCUAGGACGUUC